AUUGAACGCUGGCGGCAUGCCUUACACAUGCAAGUCGAACGGUAACAGGUCUUCGGAUGCUGACGAGUGGCGAACGGGUGAGUAAUACAUCGGAACGUGCCCGAUCGUGGGGGAUAACGCAGCGAAAGCUGUGCUAAUACCGCAUACGAUCUACGGAUGAAAGCGGGGGAUCGCAAGACCUCGCGCGGACGGAGCGGCCGAUGGCAGAUUAGGUAGUUGGUGGGGUAAAGGCUCACCAAGCCUGCGAUCUGUAGCUGGUCUGAGAGGACGACCAGCCACACUGGGACUGAGACACGGCCCAGACUCCUACGGGAGGCAGCAGUGGGGAAUUUUGGACAAUGGGCGCAAGCCUGAUCCAGCCAUGCCGCGUGCAGGAUGAAGGCCUUCGGGUUGUAAACUGCUUUUGUACGGAACGAAAAGGUUCUUUCUAAUAAAGAGAGCUCAUGACGGUACCGUAAGAAUAAGCACCGGCUAACUACGUGCCAGCCGCCGCAGUAAGAC
rnacentral:rRNA from 1 species